rnacentral:rRNA from 1 species
GAUCCUAGCUCAGGAUGAACGCUAGCUACAGGCUUAACACAUGCAAGUCGAGGGGCAGCAUGGUCUUAGCUUGCUAAGGCCGAUGGCGACCGGCGCACGGGUGAGUAACACGUAUCCAACCUGCCGUCUACUCUUGGACAGCCUUCUGAAAGGAAGAUUAAUACAAGAUGGCAUCAUGAGCCCGCAUGUUCACAUGAUUAAAGGUAUUCCGGUAGACGAUGGGGAUCG